UGCAAGUCGAGCGCAGUCCUUCGGGACCGAGCGGCGGACGGGUUAGUAACGCGUGGGAACAUACCCUUUUCUACGGAAUAGCCUCGGGAAACUGAGAGUAAUACCGUAUAAGCCCUUCGGGGGAAAGAUUUAUCGGGAAAGGAUUGGCCCGCGUUAGAUUAGAUAGUUGGUGGGGUAAUGGCCUACCAAGUCUACGAUCUAUAGCUGGUUUUAGAGGAUGAUCAGCAACACUGGGACUGAGACACGGCCCAG
rnacentral:rRNA from 1 species